GGGGGCAGCAGUCGGACGCGAUGCUCCUGAUGGUCCCUUUCAGCUCAGAAUUUUCCAAGGUUCUUUGAUUCUUCCAAGUGGGUACGAAGGGUUUUGCAUUGUUGAGAUGGGAGUACCACCCAACCUUUGGAGAAACGCUCCACAGCACAGCCCAGAGCAAACCAACCCAGUUUGCAAACCAACCCAGAAUGCAAAAAUCUACAGGUGGAAACCACUGCCAUCCCUUGGUUCCUUAUUAGCUGCAGUGCUGCCUCAUCCCAACACUACCUCCAAGGAAGCAUCAAGAAAUCCUGGCAUAACCGUGCUCACAUCCUAACCGUAACCCUGACCCUAACCUUAACCCUGACCCUGAUCCUAACCCUGACCCCAUAAGCAACACCUUACCAUCUGAAGUCUGAAUUGAAGCUUUAGGAUAACCGACGCAUCCUGCAGCAGAGCUCCGUGGCUGUCGCAGAGCUGAGCUGCCCCAGGAGCACAGAGGCACUCCCCAGGAAUGUUUGUGUCCCUUCUGCCAAACCUCUCCUAGCUUCAAUCUCAAGCUGGCAGCAGCAGGCGCAUUCUAAAAGCAGAGAGCAUCGCUGUCCGCCUGCGGCCGCAGCUGCCACCCCAUGUUUGUGUUGGCGAAGCGUCACCGCAAACGGCUCUGUACAAGAAACAAGCAUGGAAAAAGGAAGUCUCAAUGAGCGCCAUGUGACUCACCCGACACGCAGCGAUAGUGCUGCUCAAAAAAGCACUCGUGAGCACGCUGCGAUGGCAUGGCCACGCGAUGGGUCAGGAGGGCUCCCUGCUGCCAGGAAGGGUGACUGUCCUCGUUGAUGUCCGUGUGCGGUAUUGGGGUGGGAGGCAAUUCUCAGCUGCACAGAAGAUGGCAUGUUCCAAAUAUAUUUGGUUUCAAGGUGACCAAAGGUGGCUGAGCCCGGUGUCCCCCGGACCUGCAAAAACCAGCAGGUUUUUUGACCACAUUAAGGUCAAACGCGGUGAAAUAGACACUAAUGAACAGCACGUACAGUUUGCUCAUUAACCAGACACCUCCCCGGCUCGUGGGCAGGAGAGGGACACAGGGAAGGGGAUGAAAAAAGUACCUCUGUUAGCUCAGAGCUCAGCUGAGGUCAGAUUGUCUGUUGGGAUCAACUGUUGCUACUCCUCUUCAGUGCACAGUGGCAAUGGGUACCAGUUGGGUGACCCACUGUAACCACUGGGAUGGGCACCAGCUGGGUGACCCCACUGAGAUGGGCACCAGUUGGGCGACCCCACUGAGAUGGGCAGCAGUUUGGUGACCCCACUGAGAUAGGCACCAGUUGGGUGAUCCCACUGCAGUGGUUGUGAUGGGCACCAGUUGGGUGACCCCACUGAGAUGGGCAGCAGUUUGGUGAACCACUGUAAUCACUGUGAUGGGCACCAGUUGGGUGACCCCACUGCAGCCACUGGAAAUCCCAUUUCCCAGCACUCACGUCCCAUUCAUCCUCAGGAACUGCAGCUCCACACAUCUCUGCAGCAGUCCCAUCAUGCUGCUGCCUUGGGAAAAUGGCAGUGAGACCCCCCGGAAACACGUCAGCACAGAGCUA
ensembl:lncRNA